GACGAACGCUGGCGGCGUGCCUAAUACAUGCAAGUAGAACGCAGUUGCGAACGGGUGAGUAACGCGUAGGUAACUGCCUCAUAGCGGGGGAUAACUAUUGGGAACGAUUGCUAAUACCGCCUACUGUGAGAUUGACCUGCGUUUUAUUAGCUAGUCGGUGAGGUAAAGGUUCACCAAGGCGACGCUACAUAGCCGACCUGAGAGGGUGAUCGGCGACACUGGGACUAAGACACGGCCACGACUCAUACGAGAGGACGCAGUAGGGAAGCUUCGGCAAUGGAAGGAAGUCUGACCGAGCAAAGCCGAGUGAGUGAAGAAGGUGUUCGGAGAGUAAAGCUAUGUUGAUAGAGAAGGGGUGACGAAACAGAAAGGGGCGGCUAACUACGUGCCAGCAGCCGCGGUAAUAC
rnacentral:rRNA from 1 species